rnacentral:rRNA from 1 species
GACGAACGCUGGCGGCGUGCUUAACACAUGCAAGUCGAGCGAUGAAGUUUCCUUCGGGAAAUGGAUUAGCGGCGGACGGGUGAGUAACACGUGGGUAACCUGCCUCAUAGAGGGGAAUAGCCUUUCGAAAGGAAGAUUAAUACCGCAUAAGAUUGUAGUACCGCAUGGUACAGCAAUUAAAGGAGCAAUCCGCUAUGAGAUGGACCCGCGUCGCAUUAGCUAGUUGGUGAGGUAACGGCUCACCAAGGCGACGAUCAGUAGCCGGACUGAGAGGUUGAACGGCCACAUUGGGACUGAGACACGGCCCAGACUCCUACGGGAGGCAGC